rnacentral:misc_RNA from 1 species
UACGAGGGGUCCAAGCGUUGUUCGGAAUCAUUGGGCGUAAAGCGGGUGUAGGUGGCCAAGUCAGUCAGAAGUGAAAGCCCCGGGCUUAACCCGGGAAGGGCUUUUGAUACUACUUGGCUUGAGUGUGGGAGAGGAUAGUGGAAUUCCAGGUGUAGUGGUGAAAUACGUAGAUAUCUGGAGGAACACCGGUGGCGAAGGCGGCUAUCUGGCCCAACACUGACACUCAGACCCGAAAGCGUGGGUAGCAAACAGG